UCUCUUAUAGCUCAGCUGGUAGAGCAUCGCACUGUUAAUGCGAAAGUCGUAAGUUCGAGUCUUACUGGGAGAG
rnacentral:tRNA from 2 species